GUAGAUAACUAAGAAUUACAAAGCACCUGUCCUCCCCUGCGUUUGGAAAAAUGCUAUUUAUAUUGAAGCUUGGACACCACAAAGGCCCCCAGGGUAUUUUACAAGCAACAUUAAUCCAAGCAUUGUGGUACUAAAUUCCCUCUUUAAAUACAGAAGCGACGCUACCAAGGCAGAGAGCGCACUGCCCAUCAGAAAACACACACACACACACACGCGGAGGUAAACAAAACAAGAGUUACACUAUCCAGUGGCUUCCCAAAAGCCUCAGAGGCAAAGAGUUGUGUGACUCAGGACACAUGAUCGGCAAGCAUAUAAUAUUUAAAGCCAACUCUGUCGCUAGCAACCACCAAAGGGUGGAAUGCCUGGUAAACAACCGAGUUGCAACAGAAUCCAUCCCUCCCCAGCAGGUGCCGGGAGAUCCCAGAAAGCGGGGGAGGGGGGAGGCAAGCGAUCCCGACCUCGCUCUUUUUCUUUUUUCUUUUUUUCCCCUCAGAGAGACCUCAAGUCAAACCCACACCGUAGUAGGAAGUUUUAGAAACAUCCCACGGCUCGCUCGCUCUCUCUCCUCGGCGCCCUUCAAAAGCUUGACGGGCGAGCAGAUAAAUACAAGGCGGCGCCGAAACAGGACCCGAAAGAAAUUAUUUUCGGACGAGCUUUAAACAAAUCUUUUUUGGGGGUGGUUGUUGUUUGAGGGCGGGUUAUGAUAAAGCCCCCCCUUCCCUGAGCAAGAAGGCCUUCGGGCUUCUUCCUACUUCGGCAAGCCCAAGAGCAGGAGAGCCUGUCAACGCGGAGAAGGGGAGGUACGAGAGAAAGGCCCGGGACUCAGAUGCAAAGCCAAUUGAGUGACAAUAGGCCUGUCCUCCUCUCUCAACCCUAAGAAGGCAAUGGCAAACCACUGCCAAAAACUUGCCAAGAAAGCUGCAGGGAUUUCUCCAGGCAAUUACCAGGAAUGGACACUAACUUGAAGGCUAUACAGAUUCAAUUAAAUAUCUUUAGAAUAUUGAAGGAAGUUGUUGAAGAGCUAUCAGGAUGUCUGAAUUAUCUUUGAGAGAUCCUGGAGAAGGAGCCUGAGGACUGGGAAGAAGAAAAUGUGGUUUCCCCACUUCAAAAAAGCUUCUCUUGUGGAGAUAUUGCAAGUUUUGAAUCCUAAAAGCACUUCAAGCUAGACCCAGAUUUUGCUUUCAUUCAAAGAAAGGAUCAAGAUUCAGCAGAAUCUGCACUGAAUGAAGGUAGCUUUCAUCAUGUAUUUUUCCCCUCAUACUGUUGUUAGAGGUUUCUGCAAAUCUCUUGAACGGUUUUUCAGACAGAAAGGAAAAUGGAAAAAAAUAUAGUCUCCUUUCCCAAUUCCUUCAGUAAGGACUCUCGUGAAUGAACUCAUGCUUGUGGGUAAUCUGGAGACAAUCCUGCAUUUUUUACUUGUUUCCCUCUGCAUCACUUAUGACUGCAGUUUAGUAUUACAAUGUGGACAUUCACAGUAUCUCUGCGACAUAAUUAUGUAUUGAGAGCUCCUUACUCUGUAGUAUGAUAAAACGUUUUCCUCUGUUUUUUUUAAAAUCAUCCCACCAUUGUCCUAUCUUUUGCCUUAAGAGUUCUUGUAUGGAAUUAAUGAAGAAACAUUACUGACCUUAUGGCAAAUUGCAGAGGAUUAUCAUUGCCCUGCCAUUUAGUGAACCUUUUCAUUUUAAGCUGCGUAUGAAGCACCACACACAUUGCCACGGGUGCCUUUUCUGGUCUCAAGAAUGCCAUCUAAGCGGCUGUCAUUGCAGUAUAGCUUGCAUGAAUUCAGUGAAUAAAAUUCAAUUUCUCUGAUGACUUUGAACUUUCAAGUACCAUCUGUACUUUAACGAUAGUAAUACAACAGAUAGAUACAGGUUCUAUAUUUCCCCCUUAAUAUAAUGAUCUAUAUUUCUCAAGUGUUUAAAGGUAAUAUUGAGCAGUAUACAAAUAAGCAAAACUGAUGGGUUCCUUCAUGACAUCAGGUAAACCAAUUAUAAAUGAGAAAAUUAAUUGAGAAAUUGCCCACCACACUAGGCUGGAUGGUCUUAUCUUCUUCCACCUCUGGUACUUCCUAUUUACUUGUUCAUUUUUUUCAUCUAUUCAUUUUAAUAGGAAUGAUACCAGCAUAGGUGUGGAAUCUCUGGAAAAUGGAACCAAAGACCAUUUUAUCUAAAGAUCUAAGGCAAAUCCAGAUAUAGAUUGUUUGCUACAAGUGCCAAAGCUUACAUUUAUGUGGAAAAUCCUAUGACUGUUAAAUUUACUUUCCAGAAUUGAGUCAUGUCUGAUGCAAGCACUAGCAGAAGGAAUAUGUUAUUCUUCUGAUACUCAGGGGCUUUAUUUAAUUGCCCAUCCAGUAAACGUUCAGUAAGUAUAUGGAAAUAUAGUGCUAAAGAGUAACAUCUGUGGCAAUGGUGUGCUUAUGGUACUUAAGGAGACAAUUGGGUAACAGUGCUGAGGUGAACAGAAAAUGUAUAAUGCAAUAUGUCAUAACCCAAAUUUGAAAAUCUCUCUCUCUCUCUCUCUCAAAACACACAUGCUGAUCUCUAUAGGCCUGCAGUUCUCACUAUGUUUCUAUUCCUGACAUACAUUAUUUUUUAUCAAUGUAUUAUUCUGAUAUACAGUCAAUUUGAUGUGGAUUGGCUGUGGAUGCCGGCAUCCCGGUACAGUCAGCUGCAUCCGCAGCUGACUGUUGGGGGCGAGUUAGUGGCCCCAAAGGAGGCGGUUCGCAACUUGGGUGUCCUCCUGGACGGACGGCUGUCUUUUGAUGAACACCUGGCGGCCGUCGCCAGGAGGGCCUUUUACCAGGUUCGCCUGGUUCGCCAGUUGCGUCCCUUCCUUGAUCGGGAUGCCUUAUGCACGGUCACUCACGCUCUGGUUACGUCUAGGCUGGAUUAUUGCAAUGCUCUCUACAUGGGGCUGCCCUUGAGGUGCACCCGGAGGCUGCAGUUAGUCCAGAAUGCGGCUGCGCGAGUAGUAACGGGAGCCGCUCGUGGCUCCCACGUGACACCGCUGCUCCGUAGCUUGCACUGGCUUCCUGUGGUCUUUCGGGUGCGCUUCAAGAUUUUGGUAACUAUCUUUAAAGCGCUCCAUGGCUUAGGACCCGGGUACUUACGAGACCGCCUGCUGUUACCUUUUGCCUCCCACCGACCCGUACGCUCGCACAGAGAGGGUCUCCUCAGGGUGCCGUCCGCCAAACAGUGUCGGCUGGCGGCCCCCAGGAGUAGGGCCUUCUCUGUGGGGGCAGUGACGCUCUGGAAUGAACUUCCCCCCGGUCUGCGUCAAGUGCCCGAUCUUCGGACCUUCCGUCGUGAGCUCAAAACAUAUUUAUUCAUUAAAGCGGGACUGGCAUAAUUUAGUGAUGUAUUUUAAUUGGGGUUUUAAUAUUUUUUAACUUUUUAAUUUAAAUUUUAAUAAUCGGCCUUUAAAAUUUGCUCUUUUUAAUUGUUGUUUUAAACUGUAUAUAUCUUUGUUUUUACUUUGGCUGUACACCGCCCUGAGUCCUUCGGGAGAAGGGCGGUAUAAAAAUUUAAUAAAAUAAUAAAUAAUAAUAAUAAUUUAAUUCUUCAUUCCAUACCUACUCUGCUUCUUUACUCACCUUUACUCACCCAACUGCAACCCUAAGCUAACAUAUUUUAAGGACACAGUUUAUUUACAACUGUACAGAACAGAAUACAUCUUUCAGUUAAAUGAUUAUAAUCUGUAUCCAUUAUUUAUAUACUCCAGCUGAAACUCUUUGAUCUUUUCAGUGAAUAUGUUAAACUUGUAUAAUUUAAUCCUAGGCCUCCUCACUUUCUUCAUUGUUUAUUCAAUUAGCAUAAUUAUACCAGCUAAAAUAUUGGCACUGGACUGGAGCUACAUCUGAACUUACUGCACUCCUCUAGUAGAAAUGACAUAGAAAAUUGAAUUAAGUUAAUACACAAAUAAAGUAUCUGUUCCUUUCAUUGUUUCAAAAAUGAUGGCAGUUACAAUAGGGAAAGCCUAUAAAAAUCAAAGCUCCAACCAUGAUAAAAGAGAAAGAUCUAACUAAAAACCAUGUAAGUAAAUAUAUAUGCUCAGAUGUACAAUUUGCUGUCUGUCUAUCUAUCGGUAUCCCUCUGCAUGAAGUGUACGUAGCAUGCCUAAUAUUUGUAUUAGGAAGGGCAUCAAUCACUUAAAAUUCCCCAAACUUAUGAUAUUAUCAUUAAAAGGAAUAUUCUAUUGGCAAAACAGGGAGAUAUAAACUGAAACAGCAACUCACUUAUUUUACCUCCACUAAAUAACAGGAGCAAUAAAACUUAACGCAGCUGACUAAAACAUCAUUUUUUCUAAGAGAAUUUAAAAAAAUUACACAAGA